rnacentral:rRNA from 1 species
UCCUACGGGAGGCAGCAGUGAGGAAUAUUGGUCAAUGGAGGCAACUCUGAACCAGCCAUGCCGCGUGAAGGAUGACGGCCCUAUGGGUUGUAAACUUCUUUUGAAUAGGAAGAAACUUAUCUACGUGUAGAUAACUGACGGUACUAUUAGAAUAAGGAUCGGCUAACUCCGUGCCAGCAGCCGCGGUAAUACGGAGGAUCCAAGCGUUAUCCGGAUUCAUUGGGUUUAAAGGGUCCGUAGGCGGAUCUUUAAGUCAGUGGUGAAAGCCGACAGCUUAACUGUCGAACUGCCAUUGAUACUGGAGAUCUUGAGUACAAAUGAAGUAGGCGGAAUGAGUCAUGUAGCGGUGAAAUGCAUAGAUAUGACUCAGAACACCGAUUGCGAAGGCAGCUUACUAACAUGUAACUGACGCUGAGGGACGAAAGCGUGGGGAGCGAACAGGAUUAGAUACCCUGGUAGUCCACGCCGUAAACGAUCAUCACUCGCUGUUGGCGAUAUACUGUCAGCGGCCAAGCGAAAGUAUUAAGUGAUGCACCUGGGGAGUACGCCGGCAACGGUGAAACUCAAAGGAAUUGACGGA